rnacentral:rRNA from 1 species
UACGUAGGGUGCAAGCGUUAAUCGGAAUUACUGGGCGUAAAGCGUGCGCAGGCGGUUUUGUAAGUUUGUCGUGAAAGCCCCGGGCUCAACCUGGGAAUUGCGAUGAAGACUGCAAGGCUUGAAUCUGGCAGAGGGGGGUAGAAUUCCGACGUGUAGCAGUGAAAUGCGUAGAGAUGUGGAGGAACACCGAUGGCGAAGGCAGCCCCCUGGGUCAAGAUUGACGCUCAUGCACGAAAGCGUGGGGAGCAAACAGG